rnacentral:tRNA from 1 species
GCUGAGAUAGCCAAGGUGGUCACGGCGGGCGCCUGAAGAGCGUCAAAUGUGUGUUCGACUCACACUCUCAGCA